rnacentral:lncRNA from 1 species
UACAAAGUCGUGUCUAUGUAGAGUCUUGUUUAUGUGCAUGUUGUACACCACAUCUAUAAACAUGAGGCUAUGCAACAUUUAGGGGUUGUCUCUUUUUCUUCAUAUCUUAGAUCAUACAAUAGAUCCCAUGUUGUAGGUGAAGUCCUAUUUAACCAUUGAAUUAAUUUUUUUCCUUUUACUAUAGUAAAGAUUCCAAUUACAAGGAGGAGAUAAUAGGUUCUAGUAGUGCACAUAGGUCAGC